AUUGAACGCUGGCGGCAGGCCUAACACAUGCACGUCGAACGAGUGGCGGACGGGUGAGUAAUGUCUGGGAAACUGCCUGAUGGCGGGGGCUAACUACUGGACACGGUAGCUAAUACCGCAUACCAUCAGAUGUGCCCAGCUGGGAUGCGCUAGUUGGUGGGGUAACGGCUCACAACGGCGAACAGCCCUAGCUGGUCUGAGAGGAUGACCAGCCACACUGGAACGGAGACACGGUCCAGACUCCUACGGGAGGCAGCAGUGGGGAAUAUUGCACAAUGGGCGAAAGCCUGAUGCAGCCAUGCCGCGUGUAUGAAGAAGGCCGUCGGGUUGUAAAGUACUUUCAGCGGGGAGGCGUUACCCGCAGAAGAAGCACCGGCUAAAUUCGUGCCAGCCGCCGCGGUAAUAC
rnacentral:rRNA from 1 species